UCGACGGCAGCACAGAGGAGCUUGCUCCUUGGGUGGCGAGUGGCGGACGGGUGAGUAAUGCAUCGGGAUCUACCCUGACGUGGGGGAUAACCUCGGGAAACCGGGACUAAUACCGCAUACGUCCUACGGGAGAAAGCGGGGGACCUUCGGGCCUCGCGCGGCAGGACGAACCGAUGUGCGAUUAGCUAGUUGGCGGGGUAAUGGCCCACCAAGGCGACGAUCGCUAGCUGGUCUGAGAGGAUGAUCAGCCACACUGGGACUGAGACACGGCCCAGACUCCUACGGGAGGCAGCAGUGGGGAAUAUUGGACAAUGGGCGCAAGCCUGAUCCAGCAAUGCCGCGUGUGUGAAGAAGGCCUUCGGGUUGUAAAGCACUUUUAUCAGGAGCGAAAUACCACGGGUUAAUACCCUAUGGGGCUGACGGUACCUGAGGAAUAAGCACCGGCUAACUUCGUGCCAGCAGCCGCGGUAAUACGAAGGGUGCAAGCGUUAAUCGGAAUUACUGGGCGUAAAGGGUGCGUAGGCGGUUACUUAAGUCUGUCGUGAAAUCCCCGGGCUCAACCUGGGAAUGGCGAUGGAUACUGGGUGGCUAGAGUGUGUCAGAGGAUGGUGGAAUUCCCGGUGUAGCGGUGAAAUGCGUAGAGAUCGGGAGGAACAUCAGUGGCGAAGGCGGCCAUCUGGGACAACACUGACGCUGAAGCACGAAAGCGUGGGGAGCAAACAGGAUUAGAUACCCUGGUAGUCCACGCCCUAAACGAUGCGAACUGGAUGUUG
rnacentral:rRNA from 1 species